rnacentral:rRNA from 1 species
AGAGUUUGAUCCUGGCUCAGGAUGAACGCUGGCGGCGUGCCUAACACAUGCAAGUCGAGCGAGAAGCUCAUGAUGGAUUCUUCGGAUGACAGAUUGAGCGGAAAGCGGCGGACGGGUGAGUAACGCGUAGGCAACCUGCCCUUCACAGAGGGAUAGCCUCGGGAAACCGGGAUUAAAACCUCAUAAUGCCGAGACAAGACAUCUUGAUACGGCCAAAGAUUUAUCGGUGAAGGAUGGGCCUGCGUCUGAUUAGUUAGUUGGUGGGGUAACGGCCUACCAAGGCGACGAUCAGUAGCCGACCUGAGAGGGUGAUCGGCCACAUUGGAACUGAGACACGGUCCAAACUCCUACGGGAGGCAGCAGUGGGGAAUAUUGCACAAUGGGGGAAACCCUGAUGCAGCAACACCGCGUGAAGGAAGAAGGCCUUCGGGUCGUAAACUUCUGUCCUUGGGGAAGAAACAAAUGACGGUACCCUUGGAGGAAGCCCCGGCUAACUACGUGCCAGCAGCCGCGGUAAUACGUAGGGGGCAAGCGUUAUCCGGAAUUAUUGGGCGUAAAGAGUACGUAGGCGGUUCUUUAAGCGCAGGGUUUAAGGCAAUGGCUCAACCAUUGUUCGCCCUGUGAACUGGAGGACUUGAGUAUCGGAGAGGAAAGCGGAAUUCCUAGUGUAGCGGUGAAAUGCGUAGAUAUUAGGAGGAACACCAGUGGCGAAGGCGGCUUUCUGGACGAAUACUGACGCUGAGGUACGAAAGCGUGGGGAGCAAACAGGAUUAGAUACCCUGGUAGUCCACGCCGUAAACGAUGAGCACUAGGUGUCGGGGCCGCAAGGUUUCGGUGCCGCAGUUAACGCAUUAAGUGCUCCGCCUGGGGAGUACGCACGCAAGUGUGAAACUCAAAGGAAUUGACGGGGACCCGCACAAGCAGCGGAGCAUGUGGUUUAAUUCGAAGCAACGCGAAGAACCUUACCAGGGCUUGACAUCCUUCUGACCGGAACUUAACCGUUCCUUUCUUCAGACAGAAGUGACAGGUGGUGCAUGGUUGUCGUCAGCUCGUGUCGUGAGAUGUUGGGUUAAGUCCCGCAACGAGCGCAACCCUUGUCGUUAGUUACUAACAUUCAGUUGAGGACUCUAAUGAGACUGCCGUGGAUAACACGGAGGAAGGUGGGGAUGACGUCAAAUCAUCAUGCCCCUUAUGUCCUGGGCUACACACGUGCUACAAUGGUCGGUACAAAGAGACGCGAGACAGUGAUGUGGAGCAAAUCUCAAAAGCCGAUCCCAGUUCGGAUUGCAGGCUGCAACUCGCCUGCAUGAAGUCGGAGUUGCUAGUAAUCGUGGAUCAGAAUGCCACGGUGAAUGCGUUCCCGGGUCUUGCACACACCGCCCGUCA